CCUCAUAAAAAAGGGAAAAAUCAAAGCUCCCUAUUUUAGCUUUGAAACCCUAGAUAUUAUAAUCGUCAUCAUUGCUUGCACAUAACCUCCCUGCUGUCACACUUAUCUACAAUCUCGUUUCUCUUUGCAAUUCUACUCUCACGAAUUCUGCUAGUAGAAUGGCUGGUCAUCGGAGUAAUUAUGGCAAGCGGCCACAUUCACAGUCUGACUACUCUGAAAGCGGGGGAAAUAAAAGAAGAAAUUCUGGAAGUGGUGAUAAAGACGCAUACUCUAUUGGACAAGAUGAUACAGUUUAUCGCUAUUUGUGCCCUGGAAAGAAGAUCGGAAGUAUUAUUGGAAGGGGCGGGGAAAUUGUCAAGCAACUGAGGUUGGAUACUAAAUCCAAAAUUCGAAUUGGGGAAUCUAUGCCCGGAAGUGAAGAACGUGUUGUUACUAUAUAUAGUGCUAGUGAGGAAACCAAUGAUUUGGAAGGCCGUGAUGGUCUAGUAUGCCCUGCUGAAGAUGCUCUAUUUAAGGUGCAUGAUAGAAUUGUUGCUGAGGAUUCUGCUGCAGAGGACUCGGAUGACCCCCCUCAUGUUACUGUCCGACUUCUAGUGCCAUCCGAUCAGAUUGGGUGUAUUAUUGGAAAGGGUGGACAGAUAGUUCAAAACAUUCGUAGUGAAACCGGGGCACAGGUUCGCAUUGUAAAGGAUGACCAUUUGCCAACAUGUGCUCUGAGUUCAGAUGAACUUGUGCAGAUAUCCGGUGAUGCGUCUGUGGUGAAGAAAGCUCUUCAUCAGAUUGCAUCUCGGCUUCAUGACAACCCCUCACGAUCUCAGCAUCUGCUCUCUUCAGCUAAUCAUACCGUCUACCCGUCUAAUAGUUCAGUUAUGGGGGCGUCAGCUGGACCUCCAAUCAUGGGAUUGGCACCACUAAUGGGGCACUAUGGGGGAUACAAGGGCGAGAGUGCAGACUGGUCUCGGUCUAUGUACUCAGCUCCAAGGACUGAAACAGCGCCUAAAGAAUUCUCACUUCGUUUGGUGUGUCCAACUGCUAAUAUUGGAGGUGUCAUUGGCAAGGGUGGUAUGAUAAUUAAUCAAAUAAGGCAGGAUUCUGGGGCAGGUAUUAAAGUUGAUAGUGCAGCCUCCGAGGGAGAUGAACGUGUGAUAUCCAUAACUGCGAAAGAGGUCUUUGAAGAUUCCUUCUCUCCAGCAAUUGAUGCAGCUUUGCGAUUACAGCCCAGGUGCAGUGAGAAAGUUGAAAGAGACUCUGGUCUUGUUUCAUUUACAACACGAUUACUUGUUCCUACUUCUCGAAUUGGAUGUCUUAUUGGGAAAGGAGGGUCCAUAAUAUCAGAGAUGAGGAAAGUCACCAAGGCCAAUAUUCGUAUACUAUCAAAAGAAAAUCUCCCUAAAGUUGCCUCUGAGGAUGAUGAGAUGGUGCAGGUUUCCGGAGACCUUGAUGUAGCCAAGGAUGCUCUCAUACAAGUAACUUCACGCUUGAGGGCUAAUCUGUUUGAAAAGGAGGGUGCUGUCUCUACAUUCCUGCCUGUCCUCCCAUAUCUUCCUAUGUCCGCAGAUGGUCCAGACAGUUACAAAUAUGAAAGUAGAGAUUCAAAGAGCCGUGGGCGUGGGGGUUAUUCUUACUCUGGUGGAUAUGGUGGAGCGGAUCUGCCACCUGUGGAUACCUAUGGUGGUCAUGGUGGUUUUCAGAGUGGUAGUGCCAGCUCUCCUUAUGGUGCUUAUGGUGGGAGCUAUUCAUCUGGGCGCUCUGUUGGUUCUGGGUUGUCAGGGCGUAAUCAUGCUUCACGUGGGAGGAACUAUGACUACUAGACGAAAUUAUUAAAUACAGGAAGUGAACAUGUCGAGAACCAGGUCUGUUGGAAUUUGCAAGCAUUUACUCAGUUCUCCGACGUCUUUUGGAAAAUCGUGAUUGUCAUUGGUAUUUGUCUAUAACUAGAGUUACUAUCAAUGGCAUGCUUGUGGGAUCAGCAGUAGUUGAAAACUCUCUCUUCCAACAGGUUCACGUUUGGUGGAUGGCUGUGAUGACUACAGGUAAUUUCGCCUAAAAUAUUCAGUAUUUUAGUCUUAAACAAUCCAAUUGAUAUGAGGUAUGGUUUCUGCUCUGGUGAUGGUGCAAAUCCAUAAUUUAUGGCACUCUUAUCUGCAAUUUGCAUCUUGCCUUUAAUGUUGAUUUCAUAUUCAGCCAUGGAUUUUCAUCUAGCAGUGAUGAAUGCGUCACUUUUGUUUUGGAUAAUGUUUCAUCAUGUUUAGAAAUUAGAAGCAUGUUUGAAGUUGCUUACUUUAUUAGAACAUAAUUUUGUUUAUAGUUGGAGCGAGGAAAUUUGUCAUGUGUAGGUUUACAUUCUGCUAUCUCGAACAAUUUCUAGUAUAUAAGCCAAAGUGUAUGCAACAUCACCUUGGGUGUACUUUGCCACAACAAAAUACUAGAUGCCGGAGAGCUUUCAACUGAUUUAGUAGUAUUUCUUAGAUCAGUUAUCUAACAAGCAGAGUGAGCUUGCUGGAUCAUACUCUCGAGCUUGUCUAUAUCCAGUUAAGCUCAAUCAUAAAUCAUCGUGCAAGUUUAUGUAUUUUAUGAACACGAGGUGAAGUCGUGAUCUGGCCUACUUACAUAUUUUUCAUUACUGCCUAUUUGAGUUGUGUAGCCUUUGCUAUCAAAUUGAUGUUGGAUAUAUGAGAAGAAUCAACAUGCAGGAUGUUUUCGUCUUUUACA